GGGGAGGUGCCAGAGUGGUCGAAUGGGGCCGCCUGCUAAGCGGUUGAGCGUAGUUAAUGCGUUCCGAGGGUUCGAAUCCCUCCCUUCCCG
rnacentral:tRNA from 2 species